GACGAACCGAGCGAACGUUGUUCGGAAUCACUGGGCUUAAAGGGUGCGUAGGCGGGCUGCCAAGUUUGGGGUGAAAUCCUCCGGCUCAACCGGGGAAGUGCCUUGAAUACUGGCGGUCUGGAGGGAGGUAGGGGCGUGCGGAACUGUAGGUGGAGCGGUGAAAUGCGUUGAUAUCUACAGGAACUCCGGUGGCGAAGGCGGCACGCUGGACCUUUUCUGACGCUGAGGCACGAAAGCCAGGGGAGCGAACAGG
rnacentral:rRNA from 1 species